rnacentral:rRNA from 1 species
GUGGGGAAUAUUGGACAAUGGGCGAAAGCCUGAUCCAGCCAUGCCGCGUAUGUGAAGAAGGUCUUCGGAUUGUAAAGCACUUUAAGUUGGGAGGAAGGGCAGUAAGUUAAUACCUUGCUGUUUUGACGUUACCGACAGAAUAAGCACCGGCUAACUUCGUGCCAGCAGCCGCGGUAAUACGAAGGGUGCAAGCGUUAAUCGGAAUUACUGGGCGUAAAGCGCGCGUAGGUGGUUUUGUAAGUUGGAGGUGAAAUCCCCGGGCUCAACCUGGGAACUGCCUCCAAAACUGCAUGACUAGAGUACGGUAGAGGGUAGUGGAAUUUCCUGUGUAGCGGUGAAAUGCGUAGAUAUAGGAAGGAACACCAGUGGCGAAGGCGACUACCUGGACUGAUACUGACACUGAGGUGCGAAAGCGUGGGGAGCAAACAGGAUUAGAAACCCGUGUAGUCC